rnacentral:rRNA from 1 species
UAUAACGUCAAAUUUUUACUGGGUGCGAACACGU